ACAAGUCUUGCAAAAGUGCCCUCGGCCGGGCGCGGGUGUCCCGCGUCGCCUCAGUUCGCCCGCUACCACACACGCCUCCGGCUCACCACCCUGAGUUGCUUUCGGUUUCUGAGGAGCCGGGACGGUCAGCUCACCCGGACUUCGCCACUUGCGGGGCUCGCGGAGCUCCGCUGGCGCCCUACGGCGGCGGGCACUAGGCUGCUUCGCCUCAGCAGCGGGUCCACAGUAAUUGCAGCCUGUAUGAGCCUGCAUCUCAAAUCUAACCUCUUCCAAGUCAGACAAACGCGGGAAAUACUUAGCUGUCUUGAGCAUCAAAUGUUCAUCACGGAGAGAAGAGAGUACUAGGACCCUUGCAGUGGACACAGGCUACAGUGGAAAGCCUGCUCAUCAGGUGGCUCGUGUAAAGGAUGGCAAGCAGCAAUCCCCAGCAGAAAGCAAGCCUCUGAUUGUGGUGUGCAUAGAAGACUUGCUGGCUUACCAAGUGUGUUGCACCAACACCUUGUUUGUAAAGAAAAUUGCAACACAUCCCUCAGAUACAGCACCUAAGCCACAGAUACUGAACAUCUGGACAGAUGCUGGUGCUGAACAACUUGACUGACAUCUCCCACAGACUGUACUGCAGGUCUACUGACGAGAGACAAGACGAUGAAAGCUGUCACGGUAUAAUAUGCACGUACACAAGACAAGUGCUUUCAAAAAUGCUCUAGACAGUUUAAGAUACAUAACCGUCUUCCAUGGCUUUUAAAGUAAAAAUAAGUAUAAAUUCUCUAUUAUUAUUUUUAGAUCAGUUACAUUUUAUACGGGGCAUAAACUAUUAAGGUGAUCUGAUGAGAAAAAAAAAAGGGCCUUUUCUGCAAGCCACUUUCAAUCACAUCAGAAUAGAGGGUCCUUUUGAAGGGAAAGCUGAAAAUUAAAAUUGACCAAUGGGCUGGAGAGCCCAUAAAGGGAUUAUUUUUUUCCAGUACUUAAGGAAACAUGACCCCUCUGAUGUGGGCAGCCUGCGGCCCUAGCAAGUGUCCCUCUACAGCAAGCCAUGCUUCCCAUAUGAAGUCAUUCUAUCAAAGCUGUCAGUAACACGCUGUUGAAACUCCGCCAUAGUAAAAUAUUCUUUGUGGGUGCUAAUGACUUUGCAUUGGAAUAAAAAGGCCUUAAGCCUCUGUUUCUUC
ensembl:antisense Gm26879 predicted gene, 26879